rnacentral:rRNA from 1 species
GACAGAGGGUGCAAACGUUGCUCGGAAUCACUGGGCGUAAAGGGCGUGUAGGCGGGAGAGAAAGUCGGGCGUGAAAUCCCUAGGCUCAACCUAGGAACUGCACUCGAAACUUCUUUUCUUGAGUACCGGAGAGGAAAGCGGAAUACCUGGUGUAGAGGUGAAAUUCGUAGAGAUCGGGAGGAAGGCCGGUGGCGAAGGCGGCGCUCUGGAACGUUUCUGACGCUGAGGCUCGAAAGCGUGGGGAGCAAACAGG